UCUAAAACAAGCCAGACAUUUUGUGGCUACAAAUCAUAUCAUUAAUCGUAAAAUGAUAAAAUGAAAAGUUUAAAGUCAAUUCAAAUUUUACAAAUAUGUCAAUUCUUUUGGAAAGACUAACAAGGAAAGAGAGUCACACAAAUUGGAACGGUCAUAGAGUAAAAAUGAAAGAGCGACACAUAAAUUGGGACAGAGGGAGUACUAAUUAUGCACAUUUUUGCUAGUAAACAAUUACAUUCAUACAUAAACACACACAAUCAUAUCAUAAUGAGAGAGUGAAGAAUACUAACAGCAACUGCAUUAUUAAUUAUUUGUUCAGCUCUUCCCCCACCACCACGUCGGUUUAAACCAUAACUCAAACGCCCAUCAGAUCUAACCACACAAAACCUUCCUUUCCUCUCUGCACCAACAAACACAAACACAUGCAUCAAAACAAAACCAUAAACCUCACAAAUUUGACACAAAAGAUUCAAACUUUGGAUACUAAACAAGGUCCAAAUGGAGACAAACCCAAGAAUCAUAAAAAUUGAACCAAACAUACACAAUCAAUUAAGACAUAAAUUUAAGCAAAACUAACAAAACCCAAAUAAGGAAAAUAGCUAAAUGAUUCAUAAAAUGCAACGAACCUGAAAAGGAUGUGCGAGAAUUGGCGAAAAGUGACUUGUUGGAAUCCAAAGAAUUGGCUGAGGAAAGUGCAGUAGCAGCGCCAAUUCCUUGUAUAAUAGCAGCCAUUUAGAAUAAAAAUCCGUUCUUGAUUCAAACAAAACAAAGGAGUAUCAGAUUGAGAAUUC
rnacentral:lncRNA from 1 species